rnacentral:rRNA from 1 species
GGACCCGCACAAGCGGUGGAGCAUGUGGUUUAAUUCGAUGCAACGCGAAGAACCUUACCUGGUCUUGACAUCCUGCGAACUUUCUAGAGAUAGAUUGGUGCCUUCGGGAACGCAGUGACAGGUGCUGCACGGCUGUCGUCAGCUCGUGUUGUGAAAUGUUGGGUUAAGUCCCGCAACGAGCGCAACCCCUAUUGAUAGUUACCAUCAUUAAGUUGGGUACUCUAUUGAGACUGCCGCUGACAAGGCGGAGGAAGGUGGGGACGACGUCAAGUCAUCAUGGCCCUUACGACCAGGGCUACACACGUGCUACAAUGGGUAUUACAGAGGGCUGCGAAGGUGCGAGCUGGAGCGAAACUCAGAAAGCCUAUCCCAGUUCGGAUUGGAGUCUGCAACUCGACUCCAUGAAGGUGGAAUCGCUAGUAAUCG